ACUUAAAUUGAAGAGUUUGAUCAUGGCUCAGAUUGAACGCUGGCGGCAGGCCUAACACAUGCAAGUCGAGCGGUAGCACAGAGAGCUUGCUCUCGGGUGACGAGCGGCGGACGGGUGAGUAAUGUCUGGGAAACUGCCUGAUGGAGGGGGAUAACUACUGGAAACGGUAGCUAAUACCGCAUAAUGUCGCAAGACCAAAGUGGGGGACCUUCGGGCCUCAUGCCAUCAGAUGUGCCCAGAUGGGAUUAGCUAGUAGGUGGGGUAACGGCUCACCUAGGCGACGAUCCCUAGCUGGUCUGAGAGGAUGACCAGCCACACUGGAACUGAGACACGGUCCAGACUCCUACGGGAGGCAGCAGUGGGGAAUAUUGCACAAUGGGCGCAAGCCUGAUGCAGCCAUGCCGCGUGUGUGAAGAAGGCCUUCGGGUUGUAAAGCACUUUCAGCGGGGAGGAAGGCGAUAAGGUUAAUAACCUUG
rnacentral:rRNA from 1 species